UACAGAGGUCUCAAGCGUUGUUCGGAAUCAUUGGGCGUAAAGCGCGCGUAGGUGGCUUCGUAAGUCCGUUGUGAAAGUCAAAGGCUCAACCUUUGAAAGCCGAUGGAUACUGCGGAGCUAGAGUACGGAAGAGGCGAGUGGAAUUCCUGGUGUAGCGGUGGAAUGCGCAGAUAUCAGGAGGAACACCAAUAGCGAAGGCAGCUCGCUGGGACGUUACUGACACUGAGGCGCGAAAGCGUGGGGAGCGAACAGG
rnacentral:rRNA from 1 species